rnacentral:rRNA from 1 species
UUAAGUUAUUAAGGGCGCACGGUGGAUGCCUUGGCACUAGAAGCCGAUGAAGGACGUUACUAACGACGAUAUGCUUUGGGGAGCUGUAAGUAAGCUUUGAUCCAGAGAUUUCCGAAUGGGGAAACCCAGCAUGAGUUAUGUCAUGUUAUCGAUAUGUGAAUACAUAGCAUAUCAGAAGGCACACCCGGAGAACUGAAACAUCUUAGUACCCGGAGGAAGAGAAAGAAAAUUCGAUUCCCUUAGUAGCGGCGAGCGAAACGGGAAGAGCCCAAACCAACAAGCUUGCUUGUUGGGGUUGUAGGACACUCUAUACGGAGUUACAAAGGACGACAUUAGAUGAAUCAUCUGGAAAGAUGAAUCAAAGAAGGUAAUAAUCCUGUAGUCGAAAAUGUUGUCUCUCUUGAGUGGAUCCUGAGUACGACGGAGCACGUGAAAUUCCGUCGGAAUCUGGGAGGACCAUCUCCUAAGGCUAAAUACUCUCUAGUGACCGAUAGUGAACCAGUACCGUGAGGGAAAGGUGAAAAGCACCCCGGAAGGGGAGUGAAAUAGAACCUGAAACCGUGUGCUUACAAGUAGUCAGAGCCCGUUAAUGGGUGAUGGCGUGCCUUUUGUAGAAUGAACCGGCGAGUUACGAUUUGAUGCAAGGUUAAGCAGUAAAUGUGGAGCCGUAGCGAAAGCGAGUCUGAAUAGGGCGUUUAGUAUUUGGUCGUAGACCCGAAACCAGGUGAUCUACCCUUGGUCAGGUUGAAGUUCAGGUAACACUGAAUGGAGGACCGAACCGACUUACGUUGAAAAGUGAGCGGAUGAACUGAGGGUAGCGGAGAAAUUCCAAUCGAACCUGGAGAUAGCUGGUUCUCUCCGAAAUAGCUUUAGGGCUAGCCUCAAGUGAUGAUUAUUGGAGGUAGAGCACUGUUUGGACGAGGGGCCCCUCUCGGGUUACCGAAUUCAGACAAACUCCGAAUGCCAAUUAAUUUAACUUGGGAGUCAGAACAUGGGUGAUAAGGUCCGUGUUCGAAAGGGAAACAGCCCAGACCACCAGCUAAGGUCCCAAAAUAUAUGUUAAGUGGAAAAGGAUGUGGCGUUGCCCAGACAACUAGGAUGUUGGCUUAGAAGCAGCCAUCAUUUAAAGAGUGCGUAAUAGCUCACUAGUCGAGUGACACUGCGCCGAAAAUGUACCGGGGCUAAACAUAUUACCGAAGCUGUGGAUUGUCCUUUGGACAAUGGUAGGAGAGCGUUCUAAGGGCGUUGAAGCAUGAUCGUAAGGACAUGUGGAGCGCUUAGAAGUGAGAAUGCCGGUGUGAGUAGCGAAAGACGGGUGAGAAUCCCGUCCACCGAUUGACUAAGGUUUCCAGAGGAAGGCUCGUCCGCUCUGGGUUAGUCGGGUCCUAAGCUGAGGCCGACAGGCGUAGGCGAUGGAUAACAGGUUGAUAUUCCUGUACCACCUAUAAUCGUUUUAAUCGAUGGGGGGACGCAGUAGGAUAGGCGAAGCGUGCGAUUGGAUUGCACGUCUAAGCAGUAAGGCUGAGUAUUAGGCAAAUCCGGUACUCGUUAAGGCUGAGCUGUGAUGGGGAGAAGACAUUGUGUCUUCGAGUCGUUGAUUUCACACUGCCGAGAAAAGCCUCUAGAUAGAAAAUAGGUGCCCGUACCGCAAACCGACACAGGUAGUCAAGAUGAGAAUUCUAAGGUGAGCGAGCGAACUCUCGUUAAGGAACUCGGCAAAAUGACCCCGUAACUUCGGGAGAAGGGGUGCUCUUUAGGGUUAACGCCCAGAAGAGCCGCAGUGAAUAGGCCCAAGCGACUGUUUAUCAAAAACACAGGUCUCUGCUAAACCGUAAGGUGAUGUAUAGGGGCUGACGCCUGCCCGGUGCUGGAAGGUUAAGAGGAGUGGUUAGCUUCUGCGAAGCUACGAAUCGAAGCCCCAGUAAACGGCGGCCGUAACUAUAACGGUCCUAAGGUAGCGAAAUUCCUUGUCGGGUAAGUUCCGACCCGCACGAAAGGCGUAACGAUUUGGGCACUGUCUCAACGAGAGACUCGGUGAAAUCAUAGUACCUGUGAAGAUGCAGGUUACCCGCGACAGGACGGAAAGACCCCGUGGAGCUUUACUGUAGCCUGAUAUUGAAAUUCGGCACAGCUUGUACAGGAUAGGUAGGAGCCUUUGAAACGUGAGCGCUAGCUUACGUGGAGGCGCUGGUGGGAUACUACCCUAGCUGUGUUGGCUUUCUAACCCGCACCACUUAUCGUGGUGGGAGACAGUGUCAGGCGGGCAGUUUGACUGGGGCGGUCGCCUCCUAAAAGGUAACGGAGGCGCUCAAAGGUUCCCUCAGAAUGGUUGGAAAUCAUUCAUAGAGUGUAAAGGCAUAAGGGAGCUUGACUGCGAGACCUACAAGUCGAGCAGGGUCGAAAGACGGACUUAGUGAUCCGGUGGUUCCGCAUGGAAGGGCCAUCGCUCAACGGAUAAAAGCUACCCCGGGGAUAACAGGCUUAUCUCCCCCAAGAGUUCACAUCGACGGGGAGGUUUGGCACCUCGAUGUCGGCUCAUCGCAUCCUGGGGCUGUAGUCGGUCCCAAGGGUUGGGCUGUUCGCCCAUUAAAGCGGUACGCGAGCUGGGUUCAGAACGUCGUGAGACAGUUCGGUCCCUAUCCGUCGUGGGCGUAGGAAAUUUGAGAGGAGCUGUCCUUAGUACGAGAGGACCGGGAUGGACAUACCUCUGGUGUACCAGUUGUCGUGCCAACGGCAUAGCUGGGUAGCUAUGUGUGGACGGGAUAAGUGCUGAAAGCAUCUAAGCAUGAAGCCCCCCUCAAGAUGAGAUUUCCCAACUUCGGUUAUAAGAUCCCUCAAAGAUGAUGAGGUUAAUAGGUUCGAGGUGGAAGCAUGGUGACAUGUGGAGCUGACGAAUACUAAUCGAUCGAAGACUUAAUCAA